UAGGGUAAUAUAGUUUUCACCCAUAACAGGUAAACCUUUAUGGUAGCUACCUUAAGAAACCGAACUCAAACACCCCUUCAUCUUAGUUUAAGCUUUAUAAAAAGAGGAA